rnacentral:rRNA from 1 species
GAUAAACGCUGGCGGCGCACAUAAGACAUGCAAGUCGAACGGAAGUCGUUAUAAAUGGAGUGAAGAUUUAUCUGAAUGAAAUUUGUAACAAUGGCUUUAGUGGCGGACUGGUGAGUAACGCGUAAGGAACCUACCUUUUAGAGGGGAAUAACAAUGAGAAAUCAUUGCUAGUACCGCAUAUGCCAUAGCUAUUGCAUGAUAGUAGUGGGAAAGGAGCAAUUCGCUAGAAGAUGGCCUUGCGUCUGAUUAGAUAGUUGGUGGGGUAACGGCCUACCAAGUCGACGAUCAGUAGCCGGACUGAGAGGUUGAACGGCCACAUUGGGACUGAGAUACGGCCCAGACUCCUACGGGAGGCAGCAGUCGGGAAUAUUGCGCAAUGGAGGAAACUCUGACGCAGUGACGCCGCGUAUAGGAAGAAGGUUUUCGGAUUGUAAACUAUUGUCGUUAGGGAAGAGAAAGGACAGUA